rnacentral:rRNA from 1 species
UACGGGGGGGGCAAGCGUUGUUCGGAAUUACUGGGCGUAAAGGGCGCGUAGGCGGCCUGCUAAGUCGGACGUGAAAUCCCUCGGCUUAACCGAGGAAUUGCGCUCCAAACUACUGUGCUUGAGGAAUCUAGAGGUGAGCGGAACUGAUGGUGGAGCGGUGAAAUGCGUUGAUAUCAUCAGGAACACCGGAGGCGAAGGCGGCUCACUGGGGAUUUUCUGACGCUGAGGGACGAAAGCCAGGGGAGCGAACGGG